CGAACGCUGGCGGCAGGCCUAAUACAUGCAAGUCGAACGGCUCUUCGGAGCAGUGGCGGACGGGUGAGUAACGCGUGGGAAUGUGCCCUUUGGUACGGAACAACACAGGGAAACUUGUGCUAAUACCGUAUGUGCCCUUCGGGGGAAAGAUUUAUCGCCAUUGGAGCAGCCCGCGUUGGAUUAGGUAGUUGGUGAGGUAAAGGCUCACCAAGCCUACGAUCCAUAGCUGGUCUGAGAGGAUGACCAGCCACACUGGGACUGAGACACGGCCCAGACUCCUACGGGAGGCAGCAGUAGUGAAUCUUGCGCAAUGGGCGAAAGCCUGACGCAGCCAUGCCGCGUGUAUGAUGAAGGACUUAGGAUUGUAAAAUACUUUCACCGGGGAAGAUAAUGACGGUACCCGGAGAAGAAGCCCCGGCUAACUUCGUGCCAGCAGCCGCAGUAACAC
rnacentral:rRNA from 1 species